CCCUGUGAAGGGAUCAAACCAUUGUAGUUCAUUAGAAUUUGUAUUUCGGUUUUGUACCGACUUUUUAUCUGACGGAUGUGUGUAUAUUUUUUUGAACCCGUCAAAUGUAUUUCUUUGGGACACCCAAUUUGGUAGAGUGUCUGUUGAUUUGACCCAGACCUGAUGUACUGAGAUUUGCAGUGGGCCUUGUGAUUUGGAAUGGGCUUUGUGUCGCCUUCUUCACUUAUCGGCGAAUCAUAUUACGGAACCAUAGUGAUCUACUUCAAGUGAGUGAUUUGCUUCAAGUGAUUUGGGCACCCAUCUUGAAUUCUUGACUAGCUUUGAAAUGGGCUUGCUUCCCGAUUUUUUCAUAGGAGGCCCGGCUAGUUUGACUUAGACAGAAUUUGUCUUGAGGCUCUGAGCAUAUCACCGCUUCACCGUUUUAUAGACAAAGUGAGAGAAAGCCAAAGCUUAAUUGUUUAUGGUUUUGAUUCUUCCAAGCACCUGGACGUGGCCAUGUUCCUUGUAACUUUGCCAUUUAAUUCCCAUUUCAAAAGAAAGCUGCUUUUGAAUCAUGCCUUGAAGCACACUAUAUUUUAAUAAUCAUGCUUUAAUUGCAUUUUGUCUUCAUGUGCUAUUGAUCAGUUUCCACCGCCAAAAAUUUCUUCACAGAGGACAUUAUUAUCAUCACUUUGGCCUUGUCUCUUUAUGCAUCAAAGCUCAAAGUUCUAUUGCUUUUUUUAAACACCACCACUUGUCUUCUUCUUUUAUUUGUUGCUUCAAAAGCUUGUCUACCAUGAUUAAUAUCAUCAAGGUAGAUUAUCAGCCUUGCAUUAUAUUUUAAACAUUGCUUUUGUUUUCUUUUGACCAAGAAGAGUCCACGUAGUGGACAUUGGUGUUGGACUUGCAUGUCGUAUGAAUUUGAGGAGUGCCUUGUUCCUUGUUCCUUUCUAGCUUUAAAUAGAACAAAACUGCAGCAUAGCACCCUCUAGCUUCAUAUUGUCAUCUUCUCCUUCUUUUCCUUCCAGACCAAGUUCUUUUUGCCAUGCUUCAUAAUCCGCUGUCUGAUGGAGCCUCUUGUGAACGCUGCAGGUACAAGUGCAGGCAGGGACUUCGACAGCAAGUGCAGGCAGGAACUUUGACAGCAAAAGCCAUUUCCUUGCUGGGAUUUGGUGGAGGAAGCUGCUAGUCUGUUCUUUGUGUGGCUUGUUUUGCAAGUGGUGCAAGGCCAUCUGUUUUGUUGCGGUGGACAGGAAGGCAGGAGGUGGAUGGCUUCUGGGCGGUGACCUUGCUGACUUUCAGAACUCGUGGAUACACAUGUAUCAUAUACGAGAUUGCGACCGUUCGGGGAUCUCCAUAGCUCCAUGGUGACACAGGUACAAGAGACGCUGCAUUUUUUUUGCCAGGAGAGCACCAUCAUUUGUUGAAGAAGCACCACCAUCAGUCCUUCAUUAGGAGAGCACCAUCAUUUGUUGACAUAGUGGUCCUUCACCAGGAGAGCACCUCAUGGGGAUGGUGUUGUGGUUUUGAUGCGUGCCAGAGAGACUAUUGUGGGCAGCAGCUUGACUUCUCCGUGAUUGCCGAUGUGGUAAUCGCCUUGGUCACCAGCAGGAGAUUAUGAGGAUGUAAGCAACAUAGAUACUCCAGAGAGAUUUUUGGCCCUGCUUCAUGGAUCUUAACACUUGACAAUGUCUGCACCAUGAAAGGAAAAGUUCAGUAAUUUCAGGUACAAGUGCAGGCAGGGACUUCGACAGCAAGUGCAGGCAGGAACUUUGACAGCAAAAGCCAUUUCCUUGCUGGGAUUUGGUGGAGGAAGCUGCUAGUCUGUUCUUUGUGUGGCUUGUUUUGCAAGUGGUGCAAGGCCAUCUGUUUUGUUGCGGUGGACAGGAAGGCAGGAGGUGGAUGGCUUCUGGGCGGUGACCUUGCUGACUUUCAGAACUCGUGGAUACACAUGUAUCAUAUACGAGAUUGCGACCGUUCGGGGAUCUCCAUAGCUCCAUGGUGACACAGGUACAAGAGACGCUGCAUUUUUUUUGCCAGGAGAGCACCAUCAUUUGUUGAAGAAGCACCACCAUCAGUCCUUCAUUAGGAGAGCACCAUCAUUUGUUGACAUAGUGGUCCUUCACCAGGAGAGCACCUCAUGGGGAUGGUGUUGUGGUUUUGAUGCGUGCCAGAGAGACUAUUGUGGGCAGCAGCUUGACUUCUCCGUGAUUGCCGAUGUGGUAAUCGCCUUGGUCACCAGCAGGAGAUUAUGAGGAUGUAAGCAACAUAGAUACUCCAGAGAGAUUUUUGGCCCUGCUUCAUGGAUCUUAACACUUGACAAUGUCUGCACCAUGAAAGGAAAAGUUCAGUAAUUUCAGGUGAUAAUCAUUAUAUACCUGUGACUUAUGGAGCUUCUUCUACUGAAACGCGGUCCUCCGUCUGUGGCUUCUCUUGGAAAGCUUUAAGGAUGGAAUGGUGUAGGACUCUGGUCUUGUGUGAACUCUCUUUUUUUUGUUCUCCUUUCUCUUGUGUGCCUCCGUGCUGCUGGCUUCUGCUCUUUAAUGUUGCAGAGCUUUCACUUCUUUUUUGUUCUGCUCUCUAGCCUCUUUCCCCCCCCC